CCCUUAGAUGUCCUGGGCCGCACGCGCGCUACACUGAUGCAUUCAACGAGUUUUACCUUGGCCGAGAGGCCUGGGCAAUCUUUUAAACCUGCAUCGUGAUAGGGAUAGAUUAUUGCAAUUAUUAAUCUUGAACGAGGAAUUCCUAGUAAACGCAAAUCAUCAAUUUGCAUUGAUUACGUCCCUGCCCUUUGUACACACCGCCCGUCGCACCCACCGAUUGAAUGGUCCGGUGAAGCCUCGGGAUUGUGGCCAGUUCACUUUAUUGGGAGUUGGCUGCGAGAACUUGUCUAAACCUUAUCAUUUAGAGGAAGGUGAAGUCGUAACA
rnacentral:rRNA from 1 species